AGCCCGUCCUCCUGUGUGGUCAUCUGGACUGCCUUCCUCGUAGGCACUGAGGGCCCGGAACAAGACAUUUUCUCAGUGCUGUGCUGGAAGCUGUUCAAAUGCAAUUAUGCUGUAUGUCGUUGCGGAAUAGAUGACUUAGAGGUUCCACACAAAUUGAAUUUUGAGGCCAGCCUGAAAUUACAUUAGAUUUGGGGGCUUUGACAAAAGCCUGUCUGAAUCCCCCUGAAGUCCCUUAGGGUCAUCUUUCUUUAAUCAUUCACUAAUGUUUUUCUGGUUAGGUCACUGAUUAAUGGAUGACGUACAUCUCCAUUCUCUGCCUACCUCCCAGUUUUUUAGUACUGUACAUAAUGUUUUAUUAAUUUGUCCUUUUUGGCUGCUGCCAAGACAGCAUAUAUGGAACUGAUUUUUGAACCUCAAGAAACUGACAUUUUGAAUUCUGCUUUGUAUCAUAAGCCUCAAAUGCAAGAAGCUGUGAUUAGAAUGUGAUAAUAGCCGAGGUGCCAUAAUUCUCUGCUGUUGUAUGUUGCCACAAACCUUCAAUCCGUGAGAAAUGCGGUAUCCAUGGUGCACCAUAAAGAGGAGCUCAAUAAAACAAGGAGGUUUGUGCAGCUAAAAUAUCUGACUCCUAAAAUGGAGUUUCCUGAAAUUAUUCCUUACUCAUAGUGUAAUGAGGUGUACGUGUUGGAUCUAUUAUAACUUUCUUUCACUCCAUCUCUCAGAAUAGAUGAUCAUCCUCAUCUUUGCAUCAUAUUCCAAUUAGAAAGGGAUGAUACAACAAGAAAGCUCUCGUAAGAUGUCAGCUGCUUGAUUUUGGACUUCGCAAACUCUAGAACUUUUCUCUUGCUUGCUCCUGCCAUGUAAGAAGUGCCUUUCG
rnacentral:lncRNA from 1 species